rnacentral:RNase_P_RNA from 1 species
GAUGGCUGGAUGACCGCGGGCCGCAAGGUUCGAGGAAAGUCCGGACUCCAUGAAGAAAGGGUGCCGGGUAACGCCCGGCGGGGGCAACCCCAGGGAAAGCGCCACAGAGAAGAGUCUGCCAUGGUGUCAGCGGUUUACCAAUGACGGAUCCACGGCGAUGGUGAAACGGUGGGGUAAGAGCCCACCGCGGACUUGGCAACAAGGACGGCACGGCAAGCCCCACCCGGAGCAAUGCCGAAUAGGGGCCUCGGGUGGAAAGGUCUGCUUUUGCAGAGACCUCCACAGGGACACUUCAGCCCAGAGGCCCGGGUUGGCAGCUUGACCGCCCUGGCAACAGGUGCGGCAGAGGAAUGGUCAUCCAAGGGGGCAACCCCUGGACAGAAUCCGGCUUACAGGCCAUCC